rnacentral:rRNA from 1 species
GAGUCCUCAACUGACGCUAAUGCUCGAAAGUGCGGGUAUCGAACAGGAUUAGAUACCCUGGUAGUCCGCACGGUAAACGAUGGAUGCCCGCUGUUGGCGAUAUAUUGUCAGCGGCCAAGCGAAAGCGUUAAGCAUCCCACCUGGGGAGUACGCCGGCAACGGUGAAACUCAAAGGAAUUGACGGGGGCCCGCACAAGCGGAGGAACAUGUGGUUUAAUUCGAUGAUACGCGAGGAACCUUACCCGGGCUUGAACUGCAGCAGAACGAUAGAGAGAUCUUGAGGCCCUUCGGGGCUGCUGUGGAGGUGCUGCAUGGUUGUCGUCAGCUCGUGCCGUGAGGUGUCGGCUUAAGUGCCAUAACGAGCGCAACCCCUUCCGUCAGUUGCCAUCACUUUGGGUGGGCACUCUGGCGGUACUGCCACCGUAAGGUGUGAGGAAGGUGGGGAUGACGUCAAAUCAGCACGGCCCUUACGUCCGGGGCUACACACGUGUUACAAUGGGUGGUACAGAGAGUCAACCGCCGGCAACGUCGGUUUAAUCAAUAAAGCCAUCCUCAGUUCGGAUUGGGGUCUGCAACCCGACCCCAUGAAGCUGGAUCGCUA